rnacentral:rRNA from 1 species
AGUGAACGCUGGCGGUAGGCCUAACACAUGCAAGUCGAACGGCAGCACAGUAAGAGCUUUCUCUUACGGGUGGCGAGUGGCGGACGGGUGAGGAAUACAUCGGAAUCUACUUUUUCUUGGGUGAUAACGGAGGGAAACUUACGCUAAUACCUCAUACUACCUACGGCUUAAAGCAAGGGAUCUUCGGACCUUUCCCGAUUGAAUUAGCCGGUGUCGGAUUAGCUAGUUGGCGGGGUAAAGGCCCACCUAGGCGACGAUUCGUAGCUGGUCUGAGAGGAUGAACAGCCCAAACGGAACCGAGAAAAGGUCCAGACUCCCAAGGGAGGCCGCAGUGGGGAAUAUUGGACAAUGGGGGCAAGCCUGAUCCAGCCAUACCGCGGGGGUGAAGAAGGCCUUCGGGUUGUAAAGCCCUUUUGUUGGGAAAGAAAAGCAGCAGGUUAAUACCCUGCUGUUCUGACGGUACCCAAAGAAUAAGCACCGGCUAACUUCGUG